AAGGUGCUUGCACCUUUCAAGCGAGUGGCGAACGGGUGAGUAACACGUGGAUAACCUGCCUCAAGGCUGGGGAUAACAUUUGGAAACAGAUGCUAAUACCGAAUAAAACUUAGUAUCGCAUGAUACAAAGUUGAAAGGCGCUACGGCGUCACCUAGAGAUGGGUCCGCGGUGCAUUAGUUAGUUGGUGGGGUAAAGGCCUACCAAGACAAUGAUGCAUAGCCGAGUUGAGAGACUGAUCGGCCACAUUGGGACUGAGACACGGCCCAAACUCCUACGGGAGGCUGCAGUAGGGAAUCUUCCACAAUGGGCGAAAGCCUGAUGGAGCAACGCCGCGUGUGUGAUGAAGGCUUUAGGGUCGUAAAGCACUGUUGUAUGGGAAGAAAUGCUAGAAUAGGGAAUGAUUCUAGUUCGACGGUACCAUACCAGAAAGGGACGGCUAAAUACGUGCCAGCAGCCGCGGUAAUACGUAUGUCCCGAGCGUUAUCCGGAUUUAUUGGGCGUAAAGCGAGCGCAGACGGUUGAUUAAGUCUGAUGUGAAAGCCCGGAGCUCAACUCCGGAAUGGCAUUGGAAACUGGUUAACUUGAGUGUUGUAGAGGUAAGUGGAACUCCAUGGGUA
rnacentral:rRNA from 1 species